UACGUAGGGUGCGAGCGUUGUCCGGAAUUAUUGGGCGUAAAGAGCUUGUAGGCGGUUUGUCGCGUCUGCCGUGAAAAUCCGGGGCUCAACCCCGGACUUGCGGUGGGUACGGGCAGACUAGAGUGUGGUAGGGGAGACUGGAAUUCCCGGUGUAGCGGUGAAAUGCGCAGAUAUCGGGAAGAACACCUAUGGCGAAGGCAGCUCUCUGGGACGGUACUGACGCUGAGACGCGAAAGCGUGGGGAGCGAACAGG
rnacentral:rRNA from 1 species